AGUAAGGUCAGCUAAAAGAAGCUCUCGGGCCCAUACCCCGAAAAUGCAGGUUAAACCCCCGCCCUCACUA
rnacentral:tRNA from 1 species